UCGAUUGAGUUUGAUCAUGGCUCAGGACGAACGCUGGCGGCGCGCUUAACACAUGCAAGUCGAGCGAGAACCGGGGCUUCGGCCCCGGGGAAAGCGGCGAACGGGUGAGUAACACGUGGGCAAUCUGCCCUCGGCAUCGGGAUAGCCCGGGGAAACCCGGAUUAAUACCGAAUGGCCCAGCAGCUCUUCGGGGCGGCUGGAAAAGGUAGCUUAGGCCUCCGGCCGAGGAGGAGCCUGCGGCGGAUUAGCUUGUUGGUGGGGUAAUGGCCUACCAAGGCGACGAUCCGUAGCUGGUCUGAGAGGACGAUCAGCCACACUGGGACUGAGACACGGCCCAGACUCCUACGGGAGGCAGCAGUGGGGAAUCUUGCGCAAUGGGCGGAAGCCUGACGCAGCGACGCCGCGUGCGGGAAGAAGGCCUUCGGGUUGUAAACCGCUUUCAGGAGGGACGAAGCCACUCGGGUUAAUAGCCCAGAGGGUGACGGUACCUCCAGAAGAAGCCCCGGCUAACUACGUGCCAGCAGCCGCGGUAAUACGUAGGGGGCAAGCGUUGUCCGGAUUUAUUGGGCGUAAAGAGCGUGUAGGCGGCCAGGUAGGUCUGCUGUUAAAACUCGAGGCUCAACCUCGAGAGGUCGGUGGAAACCAUCUGGCUAGAGUCCGGAAGAGGAGAGUGGAAUUCCCGGUGUAGCGGUGAAAUGCGCAGACAUCGGGAAGAACACCUAUGGCGAANGCAGCUCUCUGGGACGGUACUGACGCUGAGACGCGAAAGCGUGGGGAGCGAACAGGAUUAGAU
rnacentral:rRNA from 1 species